GUGCCAGCCGCCGCGGUAAUACCGGCGCCUCAAGUGGUAGUCGAUUUUAUUGGGCCUAAAACGUCCGUCGCCGGUCUGGUGCAUUCGUGGGUAAAUCAACCCGCUCAACGGGUUGAAUUCUGCGAGCACGGCCAGACUAGGGACCGGGAGAGGUGUAGGGUACGCUCGGGGUAGGGGUAAAAUCCUGUCAUCCCGAGCGGACCACCUGUUGCGAAGGCGCUACACUAGAACGGAUCCGACGGUCAGGGACGAAGCCUAGGGGCACGAACCGGAUUAGAUACCCGGGUAGUCCUAGGUGUAAACGCUGUGGACUUGGUGUUGGAAGCUCCCAGAGGGCUUUCAGUGCCGUAGCGAAGGUGAUAAGUCCACUGCCUGGGGAGUACGGUCGCAAGGCUGAAACUUAAAGGAAUUGGCGGGGGAACACCGCAACCUGAGGAUUGUGCGGUUUAAUUGGAUUCAAGCCGGAAAACUCACCAGUGCCGACGGACAAAUGAAAGCCAGGUUAACGACUUUGCUGGAUUGUUCGAGAGGUAGUGCAUGGCCGCCGUCAGUUCGUACCGUAAGGCGUUCUGUUAAGUCAGAUAACGAACGAGACCCUCAUCCCUAUUUGCCAAGGUCUCUCCGGAGAUCAAGGGACUAUAGGGAGACCGCUGGCGCGAAGUCAGAGGAAGGCGAGGGCAACGGUAGGUCAGUAUGCUCCGAAUGCACUGGGCUACACGCGCAAUACAAAGGACGGGACAAUGGGCUGCUGCUCCGUGAGGAAUGAUGGCUAUCCCGAAACCCGUUCGUAGUUCGGAUCGAGGGCUGUAACUCGCCCUCGUGAAGCUGGAUUAGGUAGUAAUCGCGUCUCAAAAAGGCGCGGUGAAUACGCCCCUGUUCCUUGCACUCACCGCCCGUC
rnacentral:rRNA from 1 species